rnacentral:lncRNA from 1 species
AAAUAUAGGUAGACAGAACACUCCAUUCAUAAAACUCAAUUUUUUAGAAUCAUACAUGGUUUGGCACUUUUAUGAGAGUUAAAAAGAGAUGGGUACAUAAAUAUGACAACACGGUUGAGUUUCGUCUGUCUUUCUGUCAUUUCACUCCAUCAGUGGCGUGACGGUGGUGUGGUGUUUUUUUAUCAAAAAUUUUAAAAUAGUUAUUUUGUGUAUUUUAAUUUAAAUUUUAAUUUGUAAUAUACGUAGUAAUAUCGAUAAUAUACAAUGUAGGGGCGUUUGCACCAAGUUUUUUAAGCAAAACUUAACACUAUGUUUAGCUUAUUUUCUUGCACUAUGCUUUAAUCUAACUUGAAUUUAUAUUUAAAUUAAGCGGUCAAAUUUCCAGGCUAGUGGUCACUUAACCUAUCUUAGACACAAAAAUAUUGUUUUACGAGGAAGAAUUAUUGUUAUUCCUUUGAGAAAGCUAAAAAAUGUAUUAUGAUACCUCUACGUAAGUUCGAUGAUUACUUUUGAUAUCCUAGACGUCGAUCAGUAGGUAUAUUCAUUGAAAAUGGAUUUCCUCAAGAGUGGAUGUAAGGAAAAAUCAUAUUGCCAAGAAAUGAACCUCCUUAAGUUUUUAGGACAGAGACUUUUAAACGACACUGUAAUAUAUAUCCUCGGUUUAAUCCUUGUUUAAUUGAACAAAAUCUAGAAUAUCAAAAUGAGAGAAACAACAGCAUAACUGCCUUAAAUCAACAACAAGUUUUAUAGUAUAUUUAGGUUUCCUGGGAUUAUAGGGAUAGUUGAUGAAACACAAUGUAAGAAAACAUUCACCUGGGGGUAUUGAUGGAGAGGUAAUUAGAAAUAGAAAAGCAUUAUUUUCCCCAACAUUUAAAUUACUGGAAAUGCUAGUCUUAAAACUAUAGACUUGAUUGCUUGUUGGCAUGGGUCUGUGCAUAAAGCCACCAUUUUUGGACAUUAAGGACCCGCAUGGAGACUGGUGACUUUUCAAAUUAAAUCCUGCUUGGUGAGAUUGCAUAUGCAUUGAGGGGAUAUAUGCAGAAAUACAGCUGAAGAAAUGUUUCAGAAUUAUCGUUAUAUGGAAACGCCACUUUCCAAUAUGUGUUUUAUGGUAUAAAACCAAAAUUACAAAAUGCAAUGUCAGUUAUUGUUGCACAACAAUUUUGUUGUUUCAAUGUGCUACACAAUACAGCCAGAAUGAUGCCUGAACAAGAGCUGCCGCCGUUAGAUGAAAUAAAUAUGGACCAAAUUAAUAAGAAGAGAAAUAAUAAAUUAUUUUGAAAGAUUAGGGCAAUAUUUUUUUUAACUUAUUCUAAACAUGUUUUUAUGUUGUUAUUAAAUCUCUUGAGUAUUAAUUUCUAUAAAAUAUCAUUAUUAAAUGUCUUUUAUUCAGAAAUAACAUACAUUACAUUUUUUACAUUACAAUAUAAACACUAAUUAAAAUUAUUAAAUAAG